AUAAAGUUUGAUUUUUUCUUUAAUUCUUGUGAUAAGCAUUGAAGUUGUAUGAAGGUUAAGGCAAGCGGUAAUAUAAAUUUAAAAUGAAUAUUAAAUAAUAAAUAAUCAUGUUAUACGUCAUAAAUUCUCAGCAUAUAAUAUUAAACAAUUUAAUAAAUUAAGAUUUAGCAAUACGUUUAAGCUUGAUUAAUAUUGUGCCAGCAGUCGCGGUUAUACUCUAAAGCUAAACAAGAAGUAUUGGCUUAUUGUUAGACGAAAUACUACAUUGAUAUAAAGUCUAAGAGAAUAAAAAAGUGAAAUUAAAGUUUCUUUUUAUAGAACUAUGGAUAAUAAUCAAUAAAAGUUGAAGCAAUAAAAUACUGGAGUUAAACUAGGAUUAGAUACCCUAUUAUACCAGAGAAUAAUUAAUAUAAGCCUAAUUAGUAAUAGCUAUAUUCUAUAAAUUUGAAAAAUUUGGCGGUGAUUUAGUCUAGUCAGAGGAACUUGUUUUUGAAUCGAUAAACCACGAAAUAUCUUGCUCAAUCUUGUAUAGUAUGUAUACCGUCAUUAUUAGAUAAUUUUUACAGAAAAAAUUAUUAUAGUUUGUUAAUAAUGUUAAAUAUAUUAGAUCAAGGUGCAGCUUAUGAUUGAGUUAAAAUGAGUUACAAUAAGAUUUAUUUAUUACGGACAUGUAAUUUAAAUAUUGCUUAGAAGGAGGAUUUGAUUGUAAGGUGAAUUUAAUACGUUUAUCAGAUAUAAGCUCUAAAUCAUGUACAUAUCGCCCGUCGCUUUCAUUUUAAAAUGAGAUAAGUCGUAACAUAGUAGACUUACUGGAAAGUGAGUCUGGAUAGGA
rnacentral:ncRNA from 1 species